UAGACACAGACCUGGAUGUUCUUCUAUAUUUUUUAGGCUCUCUGUGAGGACUACAAGGUUGAGAAGACGGUCUAGGACGGCUGGGCAUUUUAGUAACAGAUAGCUCUCGAAUUCUUCUACGCCUAUUGCAUCCCGGAUCUUCAUUAACGAUUUUAAUACCGCUUCUUGAUGUGGUACCUGGGCCAGUCGGGAGGCCAAGGCUAUUGUUACCUCCUUAACAAAUCGGGAAUCAGGCGAUGGACUACUUGACGAUGGAAACAGGAGAGAGGGUACGCUUAAGAUCACACCGGUGGUAACGUUCGUCUGAAAGGAAUUCUGUACUUCUGAACGGUUUAGGCCAUCUUCAAGAAUCUGCAAGAGAACGAUCGAUACAAUUGCGUUUAGAUAUCGAUCCAUGAUGAUGUAUAAGAUAGUGGGGAGAUUGCAAGGUCAGAAAUAUGUUUGUGCACGGACCUGUCUAUCUGAUAUGUUUGCCGAAAAUUUUAAAAUAUAUCAUGAAUAAUAUGAAGAUGGAAAAGGAUAAUUCGUGAAAUGCUAUUAAAUUUAUUAGUUUAUAUGUAAUAUAAUUUAUAUAUAAUAAAUCCUGUAACUUAUAAUAAAUUAA